CCCACUGCUAUCGGGAUAGGACUAAGACAUGCUAGUUGAGCGCUUCCAGCCAACACGGGAGCGCAGCGCACAGCUCAGUAACACGUGGCUAAUCUGCCCUUGGGACCGGAACACCCCCGGGAAACUGGGGCUAAUUCUCGAUAGGUGAAGAACUCUGGAAUGAGUCUCCGCUUAAAAGACGUUUGCGUUAUGCUCGUAAGCGUCGCCCAAGGAUGAGGCCGCGACCGAUCAGGUUGUUGGUGAGGUAAUGGCUCACCAAGCCUUUUACCGGUGCGGGCCGUGAGAGCGGGAGCCCGGAGAUGGGCACUGAGACAAGGGCCCAGGCCCUACGGGGCGCAGCAGUCGCGAAAACUUUGCAAUACACGAAAGUGUGACAGGGCUAUCCCGAGUGCCAUCCGCUGAGGAAGGCUUUUACCCAGUCUAGAACGCUGGGGGAAUAAGGAGAGGGCAAGUCUGGUGUCAGCCGCCGCGGUAAUACCAGCUCUCCGAGUGGUGUGGAUGUUUAUUGGGCCUAAAGCAUCCGUAGCUGGCUGAGUUAGUCCCUUGUUAAAUCCACCGAAUUAAUCGUUGGAUCGCGGGGGAUACUGCUUGGCUAGGGGACGAGAGAGGCAGACGGUAUUUUCGGGGUAGGGGUGAAAUCCUAUAAUCCCGGGAAGACCACCAGUGGCGAAGGCUGUCUGCUAGAACGCGCCCGACGGUGAGGGAUGAAAGCUGGGGGCACGAACCGGAUUAGAUACCCGGGUAGUCCCAGCUGUAAACGAUGCUCGCUAGGUGUCAGGUGCGGUGCGACCGCAUCUGGUGCCGCAGUGAAAACUUGAAGCGAGUCACCUGGGAAGUACGGUCGCAAGGCUGAAACUUAAAGGAAUUGGCGGGGGAGCACUACAACGGGUGG
rnacentral:rRNA from 1 species